GUACGGGAGGCAGCAGUAGGGAAUAUUGCGCAAUGGAGGAAACUCUGACGCAGCAACGCCGCGUGAAGGAAGAAGGUUUUCGGAUCGUAAACUUCUUUGACAGGGGACGAUAAUGACGGUACCCUGAAAACAAGCCACGGCUAACUACGUGCCAGCAGCCGCGGUAAUACGUAGGUGGCGAGCGUUGUCCGGAAUUACUGGGUGUAAAGGGCGUGCAGGCGGGAAUGUAAGUCAGAUGUGAAAACCCAUGGCUUAACUGUGGGAUUGCAUCUGAAACUAUGUUUCUUGAGUGCUGGAGAGGAAAGCGGAAUUCCAAGUGUAGCGGUGAAAUGCGUAGAUAUUUGGAGGAACACCAGUGGCGAAGGCGGCUUUCUGGACAGUAACUGACGCUGAGGCGCGAAAGCGUGGGGAGCAAACAGGAUUAGAUACCCCGGUAGUCCG
rnacentral:rRNA from 1 species